rnacentral:lncRNA from 1 species
GCUGUGUUGCAACACAGGAUAAGCUCUUCCUAUUUUGCAAGAGGAACUGCCUAGGCUGUGUUCCAGUCUCUCAGCCUCGAGCUCACACUGAGUCAUGUGACACUCCUUUGUGAGCAUAGCAGCAGAGGGCACCUUGCUGUUGAAAUCCAAGGAGUGCUGGCAGCUGCCGGACAGGAAAACCAACAGAGAUCACAUCUCCCAGAAGAUGGCUGUUUCAAAGUGAGUUCUGGGUUUCCAUGGACUCCUCGAGGGAAAUUUCCAGGGAUAUUUUCUACUUGAUUACCUUAUUCAUAUUUACAUCUCAAGAGCUUUGCCAAAUACAUCAUCUAAACAGAAAAGCAAUAAGAAGUCGUGCAGAAGACUAUUGGACUAAAACUUAGGACCUGAGUUCUGGUACAAAUCAGCAGGAAAACCAUGGAGGGUGAAUUUGAAGGAGGGGAUCUGUGUCUCAGCCUUUGCACCACCACCUCACCCCAUAUGUCUGCACUAAGUAAGUAUUUAAAAUAAAUGAAUGGUGUGUGUUUGGUGGGGGGCAAUGGAUUUGAAAAUGGCAUUUGCUUAAAAGCUCUAGAUCUUAACAGUUUUCAAGAAUUAAAAACAAGCAGGACAUAGGAAGCAUCACCAAUGAAUCAUGGUCAAACGUAAGUUUCAGUAUCUCUGGGUGCCUAGCAAUCUUCUAACAGCCAAAUGGAAGCAAGGCUGACCGCGUU